rnacentral:rRNA from 1 species
GACGAACGCUGGCGGCGUGCUUAACACAUGCAAGUCGAACGGUGAAGCGCUUGCCUUUUUGGUGGGUGUGGAUGAGUGGCGAACGGGUGAGUAACACGUGAGUAACCUGCCCUCUUCUUCUGGAUAACCUCAUGAAAGUGGGGCUAAUACGGGGUAUUCCGGGUCUGUCGCAUGGCGGGUUUGGGAAAGAUUGCGCCUUUGGGUGUUUUCGGUGGGGGAUGGGCUCGCGGCCUAUCAGCUUGUUGGUGGGGUGAUGGCCUACCAAGGCGGUGACGGGUAGCCGGGCUGGGAGGGUGGACGGCCACACUGGGACUGAGACACGGCCCAGACUCCUGCGGGAGGCAGCAGUGGGGAAUAUUGCACAAUGGGCGCAAGCCUGAUGCAGCGACGCCGCGUGAGGGAUGGAGGCCUUCGGGUUGUGAACCUCUUUCGCCAGUGAAGCAGGCCUGCUCCUGUGUGGGUGGGUUGACGGUAGCUGGAGAAGAAGCGCCGGCUAACUACGUG